rnacentral:rRNA from 1 species
GAUGAACGCUGGCGGCGUGCCUAAUACAUGCAAGUCGAGCGAACGGACGAGAAGCUUGCUUCCCUGAUGUUAGCGGCGGACGGGUGAGUAACACGUGGAUAACCUACCUAUAAGACUGGGAUAACUUCGGGAAACCGUAGCUAAUACCGGCUAAUAUUUUGAACCGCAUGGUUCAAAAGUGAAAGACGGUCUUGCUGUCACUUAUAGAUGGAUCCGCGCUGCAUUAGCUAGUUGGUAAGGUAACGGCUUACCAAGGCAACGAUGCGUAGCCGACCUGAGAGGGUGAUCGGCCACACUGGAACUGAGACGCGGUCCAGACUCCUACGGGAGGCAGCAGUAGGGAAUCUUCCGCAAUGGGUGAAAGCCUGACGGAGCAACGCCGCGUGAGUGAUGAAGGUCUUCGGAUCGUAAAACUCUGUUAUUAGGGAAGAACAUAUGUGGAAGAAACUGUGCACAUCUUGACGGUACCUAAUCAGAAAGCCACGGCUAACUACGUG